ensembl:lncRNA
CUGAGGGUUUAACCACAAAGAGCAAAAAUGAGUGAUCCAUUCUCAGUGUGGCAGGAGGUGAAGAGCAGGGUAUCCAGAAGACCCAACUCGGAACAGGCUUUUAGACAUAUAAUCCAGCACAGAAAGGGGGGGAAAGGUGGAAGAAUUGACAGCCACCCACGGCUGUUUGGUGCAAGCUAGCACAGGCUCUGAAAAGCUGGGAAUAGCUCUAUCCAGGCUCUGUGUGAGCAGAGAGUGAAAAGGCAUCCGAGUGUGACCAGACACCAAUGGAUAAGGAGAUUCCUGGAGCAGAGGUUUGCCUUCAAGCAAGGAGAACUGUGUGAUGUGCAAGACUUCUGGCUCUGCAAGCAGCUCAACAAGGUGUGUCCAGAUGGAGCAGAGCAGUGCGAGCCCUAGAAGAUGCCCCUGAGGAACCUGGCCUGCCCUCACGCAGCUCUAUUCCCACUGUUCCGAGCAACUGCAGGAAUGGUUUCAGGAGCAGCCAUAGCUCUGCCUUCUGCCACAUAAAUCCUCGGCAGGAGUUCACCGGGCCGAACCUUAAAGAUGAUGACUCACUUUACAGAGAUCUCUCCCAUUUUUCAUCUCCUGGCGUCUGAGCGCAUUGGUGCUGCUCUCCUGCCAGGAUGUGAAGAGCCGUGAAAAAUCUGAUCUCUCUGACGCUGAUGUUAAACUAUGGCAAAUAAAUACACUGCUCCAAUGCAGUUACAGCUGUCCGGGUUGUUCCAGUGCCCUGUAUGAAGUUGUCAUCCAAAUAAGUAACUGUUCGCUUGAUCUCCAUUUUACCCAUAAGCGUUUUCCGGGGGGGGGGGGGGGGGGGGGGGGAGAAUGAUAACAAAUCAAAAAUGGGCUAUUCCCUGUGGGCUUCUUUCCCUUUUAUUACAGGGGUUUGAUGGAUCUUAUCUUAUCUCACCUUGGUGCAUCUCUCUGCUCAAAUCUGAUUCAGCACAUGAAAAGUCCAGCAGCAGACUCCUGCGACCACGCCUGGAGCUGGGCUGACAGACGGAGCAAGGACGACGUCCUGAGCUUUGGCUUGGCUGCUGUAUGGGGAAUAAUUCUUGUGGGCCCCUUUCUGCUUGUGUGAGCGUUUUCGGAGCAUCUUCAGAAGCACCAGCCCUCUCCUCUGUCGUAUUAUUUUUGUUUGUAAAUCCUGGCUGAAGAAGGAUCUCGGCUCAAACAUAAAGCUCCAUCUGACCUGAGCAGCACGGGGCAAAUCUGGGAUCAAGCCUGUGAAGAAAACGGGUUUAUUAGCCUUAUAAAUUGAAUCUGGAGUUCUUGGUGCAAAUAACCUAGUACCCUCCCAAGUGAUUCUGCUUUAAUGAGAAUUGUCAAAGCUGCAGGUCUGACAGAUGUGAUAAAGAUUGGACAACACUAGGGGUGGACAGCCAGGUUCCAGUGUGCUUCUGCCCAGCCUAGAAGAGCUCCCUCAGCAACACCACGGCUUCUCUCCCUACGGAUGGAGGGAAGUUCCCAACAUAUUCUCACAUUCCUCCAGUUAAAAACUUCCCACCCACAGACAUCCCAGAGCAUCCCUUUGGAGAACGAAACACAAAGGGAAUCCAAGAUGAUGCUUGGCUUCCUGCUGCUGAGACAAAUAGUGAGGCUGUUAAACUCUACCAUUGUCCCACGUCCUUUAGAGUGGAAAGAGUUUGUACUCCUUGCUCUAAGAUUUACGCAGCAGUGCUCUCCAACGCCAGGCAGCUGGGAAGUCCCCAUGUGAAACCUCUCCACAAGCUGAUGGGAAGCAGCAAGACCCACACUGCCUUCAUCAUUGUCAUCCCCAUCAAUGGAGCCAACGGGUCAGAAAACUCCCAUCCGUUACACCUAUGGCAUGCCAUCAGCUCGCAGGUGAUGAGGAAAAGCAGAUGCAGUUUUUGGUGAGCCAGUUGUUCUCCCGUUUUGCACAUCCCAAAAUGAGCUUCAAGAUUCCAAGCAUGCUUCACGCUGUAGGGUUCUGUCCACAGGGUCUGGGCUGGAUGUGACCUUAGGAGUGAAUGCAGUGUGGGGAACAGAAAAAUUCAGCAAAAAAAGAGCAAAUGUGUUAACGGAGGGCAAAAAAAAAACACACAUCAUGUAGUUCCCUCUAUUCUUAGUUUUAUGCAUUCGGCCAGUUCUGGAGUGACUGAAAACCUGAGAAUUUGAAAGGAAUGUUGUGAUUUCAGCCGAGUUCAAUAUUCUCUUCAAUAUUUUGAAAAGUGGAAGUCUUAGGCAGCUGAACAGAACUUUGCCCAUUGACAAUUCCUGCUUAGAGAAUAAACUUAGAAUAAAUAAAGGCAUCAUAGUGGGAAUUGGCUGGAGUAAACCAUUCUGUGCUGCAGUAAAAUUCAAUUCUAGGUGGUUUCAGUUGCGAUCUCCAAUACAAACCCUGAAUGUUGCUGUCCUGCAAACGCUUCUUUAUUGGAAAGCAGUCCCAGUGUCCCAGAAAACCCCCAAAGGCCUUCCUUUGCCAUAUGCCUGCACUCAGCUGCAAGUUGUUCAUGCUGCGCUCAUGACGGUGGGCAUCCACCUCACUUCAGCCUUUCAGACCCGAAGUAUCAAGCCUAAACCUACUGCCACGGUUCCCUUGUUUUUCAGAGGGAGGUUGGUACUGCAGCCUCCUACAGCUCUGCAGGCAGGGUGCUUGCUUCCAGCUGACCACGCUCAGGGAGAUGUACUAGGCUACUCGGUGAUUCCUAUUCCUCCUCCUGUUACGUUUUUCUUCCCUACCUGCCUUAACAACACUCUGUUUACGCUAUCUCAGGCCAAGGAUCAAAGUGCUAUUCCCCUCUGCCAAGAGCGAUUUAGCAGUGCCUUCCUUGGACUUGCUUUGUUAUAACUUUUGCAUUGCCCGGGUGCUGAGUUAUUCAUUAUGCGCAGGCUGCAGAGACAAUUGUAUGCGUUCCUCUUCCUGUCUGUGCAAUAUUUUGACAUUUCCCUGUGUCUAUUGGAAUUCAGUCCUGUCUUUAAAUAAAUAUCUUGCUUUCCCAUGGGAAGAGCUCCAGGAGCUCCUACCUCAGUGCUGCUUCCCAGCUGUCUGAGUUUUCCUCGUCUGCAUCUCGGGUGAUGGAAAUGUGGAGGAGUUGGGGUAUUUUGUUUGGGGUUGGGGACUUUUUUGAGGUUAAAAAGAGCAACAC